rnacentral:rRNA from 1 species
GACGAACGCUGGCGGCGUGCUUAACACAUGCAAGUCGAACGGAAAGGCCCUGCUUUUGUGGGGUGCUCGAGUGGCGAACGGGUGAGUAACACGGGAGUAACCUGCCCUUGACUGUGGGAUAACUUCAGGAAACUGGGGCUAAUACCGGAUAGGAGCUCCUGCUGCAUGGUGGGGGUUGGAAAGUUUCGGCGGUUGGGGAUGGACUCGCGGCUUAUCAGCUUGUUGGUGGGGUAGUGGCUUACCAAGGCUUUGACGGGUAGCCGGCCUGAGAGGGUGACCGGCCACAUUGGGACUGAGAUACGGCCCAGACUCCUACGGGAGGCAGCAGUGGGGAAUAUUGCACAAUGGGCGGAAGCCUGAUGCAGCAACGCCGCGUGCGGGAUGACGGCCUUCGGGUUGUAAACCGCUUUCGCCUGUGACGAAGCGUGAGUGACGGUAAUGGGUAAAGAAGCACCGGCUAACUACGUG